UGGGGAAUAUUGCACAAUGGGCGCAAGCCUGAUGCAGCGACGCCGCGUGAGGGAUGACGGCCUUCGGGUUGUAAACCUCUGUUAGCAGGGAAGAAGAGAGAUUGACGGUACCUGCAGAGAAAGCGCCGGCUAACUACGUGCCAGCAGCCGCGGUAAUACGUAGGGCGCGAGCGUUGUCCGGAAUUAUUGGGCGUAAAGAGCUUGUAGGCGGUUUGUCGCGUCUGCUGUGAAAGGCCGGGGCUUAACUCCGUGUAUUGCAGUGGGUACGGGCAGACUAGAGUGCAGUAGGGGAGACUGGAAUUCCUGGUGUAGCGGUGGAAUGCGCAGAUAUCAGGAGGAACACCGAUGGCGAAGGCAGGUCUCUGGGCUGUAACUGACGCUGAGAAGCGAAAGCAUGGGGAGCGAACAGGAUUAGAUACCCCGGUAGUCCAUGCCGUAAACGUUGGGCACUAGGUGUGGGGGACAUUCCACGUUUUCCGCGCCGUAGCUAACGCAUUAAGUGCCCCGCCUGGGGAGUACGGCCGCAAGGUUA
rnacentral:rRNA from 1 species